rnacentral:rRNA from 1 species
ACUGCCGGUGACAACCGGAGGAAGGUGGGAUGACGUCAAGUCCUCAUGGCCCUUAUAGUGGGGCUACACACGUCAUACAAUGGCCGGUACAGAGGGUAGCCAACCCGCGAGGGGGAGCCAAUCCCACAAAGCCGGUCGUAGUCCGGAUCGCAGUCUGCAACUCGACUGCGUGAAGUCGGAAUCGCUAGUAAUCGCGGAUCAGCAUGUCGCGGUGAAUACGUUCCCGGGUCUU